CCUACGGGUGGCAGCAGGGGGGAAUAGUGGGCAAUGGGCGCAAGCCUGACCCAGCAACGCCGCGGGAAGGAAGAAGGCUUUCGGGUUGUAAACUUCUUUUGACAGGGAAGAGUAGAAGACGGUACCUGCCGUAUAAGCCAUGGCUAACUACGGGCCAGCAGCCGCGGUAAUACGUAGGUGGCAAGCGCUGUCCGGAUUUACUGGGUGUAAAGGGCGUGUAGCCGGGUUGGCAAGUCAGAUGUGAAAUCCUGCGGCUUAACCGCAGAACUGCAUUUGAAACUGUUGAUCUUGAGUACGGGAGAGGCAGGCGGAAUGCCUAGUGUAGCGGUGAAAUGCGUAGAUAUUAGGAGGAACACCAGUGGCGAAGGCGGUCUGCUGGACAGCAACUGACGGUGAGGCGCGAAAGCGUGGGGAGCAAACAGGAUUAGAUACCCGAGUAGUC
rnacentral:rRNA from 1 species